rnacentral:rRNA from 1 species
CAGCCGCCGCGGUAAAACGGAGGGUGCAAGCGUUAAUCGGAAUUACUGGGCGUAAAGCGCACGCAGGCGGUUUGUUAAGUCAGAUGUGAAAUCCCCGAGCUUAACUUGGGAACUGCAUUUGAAACUGGCAAGCUAGAGUCUUGUAGAGGGGGGUAGAAUUCCAGGUGUAGCGGUGAAAUGCGUAGAGAUCUGGAGGAAUACCGGUGGCGAAGGCGGCCCCCUCGACAAAGACUGACGCUCAGGUGCGAAAGCGUGGGGAGCAAACAGGAUUAGAUACCCCUGUAGUCCCUGUCUCUUAUAU